AUCACAGGGAGACGUUUAGGCCACCAGACGGCUGCGGGCGGGCUUGACUGAUGUCAGGCUUUCCACAAGAGGUGGUGGAGCAGAGUCUUCUCUAACUCCCCUGGAGAAAGGGAGACUCCCUCUCCGGGUUUGGGAAGAGACAAAACUCAGGAGGAUUGUGCUAUGAUAAACAAGGCUAACCUGCUGAUUCUCUGAAGCAAGGAACUGGAGAUGGUCCUUCUAAGGGUUUAUAUUCUGGAUUCCAGGAAACAUGCAAACAGGACCCAUAAAUGCAUCUUUAUUUUGGUGCCCAUUUUGACCUGGUCAGGAGAAUUCCAACAAAAAAUCCACGGUGUUGGAGCAAGAUCUCAGGCUCUCAGGCUGUGGCCAUCUAGAGAUUCCAUUUUGGAUGCUCCCAUCGGGACUGUGUGUCCCUGUGCUGGAACUCGAGUGAACACUUGGCUCAAAAUCCAUUGCUGUUCUCUAGAAAUCCUGCCCUAUUCUCUUGGUGAAAUAUAAGUCAUGGUUUCACCAUGUUGCCCGGGCUCAUCUUGAACUCCUGAGCUCAAGUGAUCCUCCCGCCUCAGCCUCCUAAAGUGCUGUGAGCCACCGUGUCCCAACAGUACUUGUGUGUUUCCGUUCAAAUUGUAUUGAGGAGCUUUUACAGCAUAGCCUGUGGUCUCUCCGGGAGAAUGUUUUUGUUUACGACAAUGUAUAUUCUUCAACAUCGUAGAUUCCAUUUUGGAUGCCCUCAUUGGGACUGUGUGUCCCUGUACUGGAACUCAAGUGAACACUUGGCUCAAAAUCCAUUGCUGUUCUCUAGAAAUCCAGCCUAAUUCUCUUGGUUAAAGACGGUGUUUCCCUCUUGUUGCCCAGGCUGGAGUGCAAUGGCAUGAUCUCGGAUCACUGCAACCUCCACCUCCCUGGUUCAAGCGAUUCUCCUGCCUCAGCCUCCCGAGCAGCUGGGAUUACAGGCAUGCAUCACCACGCCCGGCUAAUUCUUUGUAUUUUUAGUAGAGAUGGGAUUUCUCCAUGUUGGUCAGGCUGAUCUUGAACUCCCAACCUUAGGUGAUCCACCCACCUCGGCCUCCCAAAGUGCUGGGAUUACAGGCAUGAGCCAUUGUGCCCGGCCCAUUUCAUUUAUUUUUAUGUGUGCUGCUGAAGCAAGCACUUAUGUGUAGGAAUUGUUCUUCCUGUGAGCAUAUGUUGGCCAGCCUGGACCACAUACCAAGAUCCCAUCUCUUUAAAAACACAGAUUACGUGGCACCUGGCACCUGGUCCCAGAGACUUCAUUUGGGUUGGUCAUUUGAAACACUAGCCUCCCAUCAAUUUAGUGUAAUCAAUCCAAAUCAUGUGUCCUUCAUUAAGAGACUAAGAACGCCUCCACGUCUAUCCAGUCUAUUUUGUAAUCCCCAACGGUUGUCAAUAUUAAUAAAAUUUCUUUUCUUUUUCCUA
rnacentral:lncRNA from 1 species